rnacentral:rRNA from 1 species
AUAAAAGGUACGCCGGGGAUAACAGGCUGAUAACCCCCAAGAGCUCAUAUCGACGGGGUUGUUUGGCACCUCGAUGUCGGCUCAUCUCAUCCUGGGGCUGUAGCCGGUCCCAAGGGUAUGGCUGUUCGCCAUUUAAAGAGGUACGUGAGCUGGGUUUAAAACGUCGUGAGACAGUUUGGUCCCUAUCUUCCGUGGGCGCUGCAGAUUUGAGGAAGCCUGCUCCUAGUACGAGAGGACCGGAGUGGACACACCUCUGGUGUAUCGGUUGUCACGCCAGUGGCAUUGCCGAGUAGCUAAGUGUGGAAGAGAUAACCGCUGAAAGCAUCUAAGCGGGAAGC